GACGAACGCUGGCGGCGUGCCUAAUACAUGCAAGUUGAACGCUGAAGGCUUGUUCUUGUGCCAACCUGGAGUGGCGCGCACGGGUGUGUAACGUGAGUGGACUGCCCUUUUCUUUGGGGGAAAACCUUUGGAAAAGGAUUCUUACAGCGUAUAAAAACCUUAAACACAAGGUUUUAUGUUGAAAUACGGCAUUUCAUCACUCAAACACGGCUUCUCGUUGUAUUAGUUAGUUGGUGGGGUAAAAGGUCACCAAGGCGUAGAUACAUAGACGACCUGAGCGGGUGAUCGGCCACAUUGGGACGGAGACACGGCCCAAACGCAUACGGGAGGCAGCAGUAGGGAAUCUUCGGCAAUGGACGAAAGUCUGACCGAGCAACGCCGCGUGAGGGAAGAGGGUUUUCGGAUCGUAAAACUCUGUUGGUAGAGAAGAACGUUGGUGAGAGUGGAAAGCUCAUCAAGUGACGGUAACUACCCAGAAAGGGACGGCUAACUACGUG
rnacentral:rRNA from 1 species